GGUCUGCAACUCGACCACACAGGCUGGAAUCGCUAGUAAUCGCAGAUCAGCAUGCUGCGGUGAAUACGUUCCCGGGUCUUGUACACACCGCCCGUCACACCAUGGGAGCCGGGAAUGCCCGAAGUCAGCGGCCCAACCGAAAGGGGGGAGCUGCCGAAGGCAGGCCUGGUGACUGGGGUGAAGUCGUAACAAGGUAUC
rnacentral:rRNA from 1 species